CUUGACCAAUGAGGAGUGUCUGACGCGAUACGCUCCAUUGCGGCAACUUGAUUCGUUAACGCCCACUCGAGUUCCCAGCGUUUUGCUGCAGUUUCACCUUAUCUGUUGGUCGCAUCGGACUCAAGGGCUGUAGUUAUUAUAUAAUCAGUGGCUGUUAUGGCUAAUGAAGGUGCUCAACGUGUAAAAAGUUAUUUUCCAGCGUGGCAUCUUUGGCUCAACAUAUUCACAAACAAGGCUGAGAUAUUAGUGUGGGGAGAAUUGUAGUGGAAGAUCAUUGCAGCCACUGUGCCCAUUUUGCAAAAUGUGGUCAAAUACUUACAAUUGUAGCUGAAAAAAAGUCCUGAGUGAUCAAAUGUUAUCCUUCAGCUGUGAUGCAGUUAGCGUUAUUCCUCACACUCGAACAGAGUAUUUCAGGUUUACUAUACCCUCCAGUCUGUCGGAAAAUUAUUUGAUAGAUUCACAGCCAAAGAAAUGAAUAAAACGAAAGAUUUACUGGAUUCAAGUUCUAUCAUAUUGAAUGACGAUGAGGUCCAUAUAAUCCAAUACAUUGCUGGGUUUAUUUUACAAAAAAUGCAAAAACGAUGCUAAGACCCGGAAGACUGCAAAAGAAUCCAGUCAUUAUUUAAUCCCGAACCGGACUGUUUGAUAACUGACUCUAUGAUUGCAGUAAUGCAGGAAACAGAAUAUGGACGCCUAACCGUACCAGUGUCCAAGCUGCUCGAAAUUGAAUUUAGAUUAAACUAUGCUCAUGAAGGUGUUACAGCCACAGUUUUUGAAAAUUUUAAUAUAGAAUCAUUUGAUAUCGCCCAAAACGAUACUAGCAUGCUGGACAUCUUGGAAAAAUAAGGUGCCAUCAAAAAGAAUUUAUCCCUACGAAAACUGCUUAAAAAAUAACUGUGGAUGAAGGGCAUGAUCUCUUUUCACUUCAUUUUGCAAGGUAGUUCGUUUAGAUGUGAUUCCAGUUUUAUUUUGAUUACUUUAGCAGUAAUUAAACAAAGCAAUCUAUUUUUCAUAACAAAAUUUUCAUUGCAAUAUAGUAUAUUUUCAUGACAAUAGGCAAUGUAAGUUGCAUAAUAAAAAUACAGCAUAUCUAGAACUGUUUGAGCUGUCCCAGCGACAG